UUGCUGACGUACUUAUUUGUCGUUCUCGAAACCCUUUGUCUCGUCGUAGAAGCGUCCCCUUCGUCUCCCAACCUCCGAUACGCCUGCGGCUGGAAUCGGACCUCCCCUCCCUCCAGAUUCGCUGCCGUCUGACUGCUUCCCGUUAGAAUCGCGGCCGUCAACUCAGAUGCGCCCUGAUUAGGGCUAAGCCGGCAGACUAGUACACGAGGCUCCGCCUCAUUAGGAAGUCGAGGAGGUCAACAGCGCCCGCGCCCAAAGACGCACAUGUUGUCAAGCUUAAGGAAACUUUAAAGAGGUGAAGUAAUCGAGUUAGAAGCAAGAUCCAGAAGCCAAAUCAGCCAAUAUCAGAACGUAGCAUCGUAGAUCUAUUCCUUUUGUGACUGGUGGUACGUCCCCUUCUACCGCAGUACUGAAUUAAUUGUUCGACUUUAGAUGAAUCACUUGUCUCUUUAGACAAGUAAAUCCUGUGAGAUCUGGCAUUGUAUGUAGCAGAGGAACGAUGAAUAGGCUCAUGGUUAUGGAAUCUCUGCUCUCUACAGUUCUGUGAAACAGUGAAAAAUGCCAACUCUUCAGCUACUGUGCUGUAAGUAAUCAAAACAAUGGAGGUCACGAGAGUUCCUGCUAUAGGGUUAUGCCUUCAAUUGUCUCCUGGACCAUGCUGACUUUCUACUUGAGAUGGCCUGCAUUAUCUAAGCUUGGUCAAGCGACCAGCUUUUUACUUGCUGAUCUUCAUCACUUAUUCUUGUCAUUACAAGCAGAUUCGUUUCUUGUCUGAUCUUUUAAACCUUGGUAAAUGCAGGAGUUGCUUACGAUCAUUUCUCUAUCAUUAAAGUAAAUACGUUUGACCAAUGCAGAAUCUAAGGAGGACAAUGCAGACCGUUCUACCCCUAUAAAUGGAGAUACUAUUUUCAUGACUUCAAUCUUGGUCGCUCAGAUUAUAAGAUUUGUCUUUAAACUAAAUUGUCUGGUAGUAAAAGUACACAAUAUUGCUCCCAUGAUUGAUUGGAUUGGAUUUUAGAUGCAGACUUACUCUCUCAGCGUUGCUAAGAACCUAGAUGUUUGAGUUAGCCUCAUCCAAGGUUGCUCACAUUUUAAUGGAGGAGACUGUUCUUAGUCUAAACUUCACAGCGACCUUUUGUAUCCCUUCAUCUAGUAACCUAUUUUGCUAACUGCCCAAAAGUGAAGUUACAUUAUCAUGACGAAAUUAUCAUUAAUGUGUCCUAUCAGAAAAAUGAAAGACAUUAUAGGGAUUAUAGAUUUGAGGGUUCUAAUAUGCUGCUACAUAUUUUGUUUGAGUUAAUAUAUUGUUUUCUUUUAUGACCUAUGCUGUUGUCACA